UUUUUUUACAGGGGUCGGGGAGUAGUGGUCAUGCUUAGUGUCACCAAGAGCUGGGUCCUUGAUGGAUCACAGUUGCAUUGGGCCAGCUGUUCUCCCUUUAGUCUACUCCUCCGCCUCAGGAACCACAAAGGACCCUUUUUAUAUGUUGCCAUUUAUCAUAUCCUUUGUUGUUUAUUAAUAAUUUGCAGAUGUGUCAUAUGUCCCCAAGAAGAUGAUAACCUCUUUAGAGCUGGGCACACAAUUGUGUUCAUUUUAUUAGCCUCCCAAUUUUUUGUAUAUGGACUUAUUUUUUAAAAUGUUCACAGGGCUGGGGAGGUUCUUGGGCGGUGGCGUGCUCGCCAGGCAGGCAUGUGUGCGGCCCGGGUUCAGUCAUCAGCACCACAUACAAACAAAGAUGUUGUGUCCGCCAAAAACUAAAAAAAUAAAUAAAUAAAUAUUAAAACUCUCUCUCUCUCUCUCUCUCUCUCUCUCUCUCUCUCUCUCUGUCUAGCUCUCUCUCUCUCCCUGUUAAAAAAAUAAAAUAAAAUGUUCACAGAUUAAUGGUUCCCACUUUUGAGGACCCAUGUUAUUAACUAUAAGCAAGAUCUAGUUGGCUUCAAAAUCACACAAGCACGAGAAGAUGCUCGAUCUCUGAUCUUGAAGCUGCCCAUCCUUUAAAGAUUCUGAACUGCUAGGGAUACUGACAAAACCCAGUAUCGAGAUCACAGAGCAGCAGGGAACUUGACCACUUUGAUGGCUUCUCAAACUACUCAUUGUUGGACGCCAUUACUUAAAAAUUAUAGCUUCAUUUAUAUGCAUUUGCACAAGAGCCUGAACGCAGAAGGUACUCCAGGUAUCCACGUCCUAACCCUUGGGUCCUCCUCCCUUCUUGUCCCUUACACAGAGCCAUCAGCACAAGUGUCUUAACAAGGAGACUGUCAACAGUCACUGGCUGCUGCUAUUGACAAGAACUCUGGCAAGAAAUACACAAAAGAAAGCACCUCUGUCCUCAAGUAACCCAGUAAAUAAUGAGUUUUUCCUGCCACUCUGUUUCUGUAAAGUGCCACAAGGAAGCCGGUGAGGUGGUGUAUGCCUGUAGUCGCAGCUACUCAAGAGGCUGUGGCAGGAGAAUGGCUUGAACCCAAGAGUUUGAGGCCAGCCCAGGCAACAUAGGGAGACUCUGUCUCUCAAAAAAAAAAAAAAAAUACCCAAAGCACCACAAGAUAACCAAGGUAUUAUGUAAAAUCAUGUUGAAAAUUUUGUUUUCUAUGAAGCAAAGUACAGCAGGCAGGUAGGGUAAAAUUGUGAGAUGAUAAAUGGACUUAAGGAAUUACAAAUAUUCCUUCUAUGUGGUAUAUAAUAAUACAUAUAUUAUGGUAUAUAAUAAUGCAUAUAUUAUGUGUAUGUGUGGGUGUUUGUGUGUGUGUAUGGUGCAGGGGAUCAAACCCAGAGCCUCACACAUCAUUAGGCAAUCACUCUAUUGCUGAGCUAUAUCUCCAGCCCUAUGCUGCCUAUUUUAGUCUUUCCCCAAUCUGUGAGUAGGUACCUGCAAUACAAAUUACAGGAACAUGGGAUUAGAGAAGUCAGACUACUGGCCCAAAGAAGCACAGCUGCAAAGCGACCCAAUCAGGAACACAUCUUGGUGUUCCAAUGCCAAACCCCAUGCUCCUGCCCCCCAAAUUUGAUGAAUGUAUAAAAAUAUACAUUUGCCUGAGGAAUUUCCAAGGAACUUCCAUAGUUUAGCUAAAGAGCUUUUAUUGCAUUUUUUAAAAAGUUGUAAAUACAGGGGCUGGGGUUGUGGCUCAGUGGUAGAGAUGUAUCUAGCGUGCACAGGGCACUGGGCUUGAUCCUCAGCACCACAUAAAUGUAAAAUAAAGAUAUUGUGUCCACCUAAAACUAAAAAAUAAAUAUUAAAAAAGUUGUAAAUACAAUCAUUUGUGAAAAUGACUAAAGAAAACUUGCCUAAAAUUAUAAUAGUCUAUAUUUAGUGAUGAAUGCUAAUGUGAAAGACUAUAUUUCUAAGAAAAGAACAUUCACAAUUUUUGGCUGACAAAUGUCAAUAGGAAGGAAAUCCAGGCCACUGGCCCAUGCUGGCCCUAGGCUCACAGGAUGUGCUCAAGGUGGGAGGUUAGAAGGGGGAGAAUGGAGGAGGUGAGCAGGGUAGAGGGACUCACAUGGCAGUCACCUCACCAUAGGAUAAAGACAGUUGACCUGGUAACAAUUCCUCCUUUAAUAUUUGUUUCCUUAGGAUAAUGUGUUGUUGCCAUUUGUCAAUGGACAUUCUUUACUAAAUUAAAAAUACGUUCCACAACCUAGGUGCCAGGUAUCUGGGCUAAAUGUUACAGAUAUAGGAGAAAAGCCUGAGCACCUAGGAAGUUUGGUAUGUUAGAAACAAAACACGCUGCCACCUUGCUAAGGACUAAAUGAAUGUUUGCAUCCCCUAUGCCCCAAUUCAUAUGUUCAAACCCUAAUUCCCAAUGUACUGGUUUUAGAAGGUGAGACCUUUGCAAGGCAAUGAGGUCCUGAGAAUGUGGCCCCUUAUUAAAAGAAGCGUGAUAUCUGAACUCUCUCUGCCAUCUGAGAGCACAAUAAGAACGCUGCUGUCUGCAAACCAGGAAGAGAGCCUUCACCAGAAACCAAAGGAACUAGCACAUUGAACUUGGAGUUUGCAACCUCCAGAACUGUGAGAAAUAAAUUUUGCCUCAGCCACCUGGCUAAGGGCUAUUUGUUAUAGCAGCCAGAACUAAGAUACUCCUCAUUAGACUGCAUUUUUGCUACUCCUCAGCAGCACCAGUAUGCCCAAGUUACUCUUUUAAGGCCCUAUUGUCUCAUUAUUAAAACGGGUAUUAUCUCUUAGAAUGAUUAGGAGGCUAAAAACUGUGUUUAGCAGUCCCUGAUCAGCAAUGGCCAAUUUACUUACUAUGAUGAUUUUCACUGCUUGCUCUUUAUUUCACAAGCAUGAUGUUUUCUACAAUGGAGAGAUGAAAAUUGUUUUGGUGUAAAUGAAAUAAUUUUAAAGAUUUUUAUUUGACUCCUUGUGAUGAUUUUAGGGACAAAUAAGGAACUUGUGGGGCUGACAUUGUGACUCAGCGGCAGAGCAAUCGUCUAGCACGUGCGAGGUCCUGGGCUCAAUCUUCAGCACCACAUAAAAAUAAAUAAGCAGAAUUGAGGUA
rnacentral:lncRNA from 1 species